UGGGGAAUUUGGACAAUGGGCGAAAGCCUGAUCCAGCAAUGCCGCGUGUGUGAAGAAGGCCUUCGGGUUGUAAAGCACUUUUGUCCGGAAAGAAAUCCUUGGCUCUAAUACAGUCGGGGGAUGACGGUACCGGAAGAAUAAGCACCGGCUAACUACGUGCCAGCAGCCGCGGUAAUACGUAGGGUGCAAGCGUUAAUCGGAAUUACUGGGCGUAAAGCGUGCGCAGGCGGUUUGCUAAGACCGAUGUGAAAUCCCCGGGCUCAACCUGGGAACUGCAUUGGUGACUGGCAGGCUAGAGUAUGGCAGAGGGGGGUAGAAUUCCACGUGUAGCAGUGAAAUGCGUAGAGAUGUGGAGGAAUACCGAUGGCGAAGGCAGCCCCCUGGGCCAAUACUGACGCUCAUGCACGAAAGCGUGGGGAGCAAACAGGAUUAGAUACCCUGGUAGUCCACGCCCUAAACGAUGUCAACUAGUUGUUGGGGAUUCAUUUCCUUAGUAACGUAGCUAACGCGUGAAGUUGACCGCCUGGGGAGUACGGUCGCAAGAUUAAAACUCAAAUGAAUUGACGGGGUCAUAGCUGUUUCCU
rnacentral:rRNA from 1 species